GGUUUCCCCGAAUCUUUCUGAGGCUCCUGAUGAACCCGCUCUUCGUCCUGGUGGUCCUGGCCCAGUGCACCUUCUCUUCUGUCAUUGCUGGCCUCUCCACCUUCCUCAACAAGUUCCUAGAGAAGCAGUAUGGCACCUCAGCAGCCUACGCCAACUUCCUCAUUGGUGCUGUGAACCUCCCUGCUGCAGCCUUGGGGAUGCUGUUUGGAGGAAUCCUCAUGAAGCGCUUUGUUUUCUCUCUGCAAACCAUUCCCCGCGUAGCUACCACCAUCAUCACCAUCUCCAUGAUCCUUUGUGUUCCUCUGUUCUUCAUGGGAUGCUCCACCCCAACUGUGGCUGAAGUCUACCCCCCUAGCACAUCAAGUUCUAUACAUCCGCAGUCUCCUGCCUGCCGCAGGGACUGCUCGUGCCCAGAUUCUAUCUUCCACCCGGUCUGUGGGGACAAUGGAAUCGAGUACCUCUCCCCUUGCCAUGCCGGCUGCAGCAACAUCAACAUGAGCUCUGCAACCUCCAAGCAACUGAUCUAUUUGAACUGCAGCUGUGUGACCGGGGGAUCUGCUUCAGCAAAGACAGGCUCGUGCCCUGUCCCCUGUGCCCACUUCCUGCUCCCAGCCAUCUUCCUCAUCUCCUUCGUGUCCCUGAUAGCCUGCAUCUCCCACAACCCCCUCUACAUGAUGGUUCUGCGGUGAGUGGCAAACCUCUGUGAGUCUGGGGCGUGGCUUCUCCUUCCCCACAUCUCCCUUUGACUUGGCGCCUAGUUGCCUGUUUCUCAUCUCUCCCCCCCAUUUUCUGGCCCUCAGAGUCCUUUGAAUGACAAUGUGCAAGGUUCUUUUGCUGAGGGGAAAUAAUACUAAUGGCAACAGUGCUGGGAGCCCUGCCCGGGGAGGCUCUGUGCUGAGCUCCUCAUUGCAGGGCCUCAUUCAGUCCCACAGCAUCCAUGUGACACAGGCCCUGUUGGCACCUCCACUCUGCACAUUGGA
rnacentral:sRNA from 1 species